rnacentral:rRNA from 1 species
AUGGAUCCAGCGCCGGCCGGCAACGAGGGCCGCCAGAUCCGCUACCUGGGAGGCACCUCCCGUAGGAUACGGGAGCAGCACGCCGCACCCUGCAGUCGCCAGUCCAGGACGAGCGCAGCGGGUCGAGGACGGUGGCGACAAACGCCGGCUCUCCUCUGCUUCAUCAACCUGGACGGCUGCUACUCCGCCAAAGACGUCUCCUACAGAUCUCGAACAUCAUAUUUGUUGAUCAGUCAACCGGGACUGGGUUCAGCUACAGCUCCGACAACCAUGAUACCCGUCACGACGAGGCAGGGGUCAGCAAUGACCUCUUUGACUUUCUUCAGCUGUGGAUACUGUGGCUACACAUUGAACUUGAGCUCCUCAACACGGAACACGACCAACAUUGGAUCCAAGUACGGGAACCAGAUCAGGAAAGGUGCUCUGCUCUUGCGCACGGUUGGUGGCGUCUCUGAUGCAUCCGUGCUUCUUGAGGCGACUGUCAUGAUGGCGGGUGUGUAUGGCGGCGACCAGAAGCUCUCCAGUGAGCGGCUCCCUCUCCUACCCCUAGUUCUCUUUUCUACUCCUAUCGCAUUGCUCUGUUGGUUUAGAACACUAGCAACAGGAGUAGUAAAAGCUUACUGA